CCCCCUUGCGCCACCGCAAAGGACGAAAAUCUGGGGCAUCCACAAAUCUCAACCAAACUCAGCCAAGGUGCUGUUGCAAAGGAAGAACCAAGCAGAUGUGAAACAGAUGAUAUAGGAUGAUUAACACAGACGUGGCGAUAUAUGGACGAUGAAAUUCGAAAUAUCGUGUCGUAGAUCGUAUCCGUCAAUUGGAAGUGAUAAUUAAGUGAUGACUAUGACGCUGUUAAGCGUAUGGAUAUGGAGGUGACCACAUACGGCAAUUUCACAGCCUGAAGGAGGUUACAACGGGAUAAAGAAACGCGUUGCGCAAUGGUUUUGAUGCAAAGAAGGACGAUCGAAGCAGCAGUCAUUCAAACGCCGACUUCUGAAGCUUUGCUCUUAAUAGGCCGUCCAUCGCAGAAAGCGCAUCUUGUACGGACUGCGGUGAAUAAUGGUAAUCAUCUGGAGCUUCAUAGGGAGCAGAACUUAUCUCCAGAGCAACUCAGGGACUCGAGAUGUGUCAAUCUCACUAUCAGAGGCAUAGUACAUGGAAACGAAUGUGUGUUGACUUUGGACACAUGUGCUUCUCAUUUAAUAAUUAGAACUGGCUUACUUAAAGGAAAGGUUGAGCCUCUACUUUGGAUACGACUACAGCUUCAGCUACACAGAAGCUUGAAAUUUCGAAAGCAAAUUUAGAGCACAACUUUGCUGUAGCUGAUCCCAUGGACGACAUCUUAAUCGUAGUGGAAUUUUUGAUCCGUUAUGGUUGUACAUUCAAUGAAAGAGUUCUGAGAAAUAGCAAUAUGGAAUUGCCCAUAAGGGAAAACGGGUUUGUGAGCAAGAUUUUCACAUCGAACAAAAAAAUGUCAAGAGAAAGACGCGGAGUCCAGACAGAAACUGAUACAAGGAUCGAUAAGGUUAACAUGCUGGACUUUGAAACCGAGAUAGCCCAAGAGAUAGUUCGAGCUUAAAGCUGAAUAGAAAAGGUGUGAAAAAGCCAGUUUACGUCCAAAAGAAAGUGACAAAACAUUACAAUUUUCUCAGGAAAGAAAAACACUCCAAGUGUAAAAAUAUGAAUAUAUUUUACAUUUUUGGACCCCUAAUUCUAUCAGAAAUAUUUGGUUUGAUGCCAAAUUUUUAAUGCUGUUCCAUAGUGUAACCAUCUGAAAGCUGUACAGAAUCCGUUGAAAUAAACUUAGUAUUAUUCUUGGAA
rnacentral:sRNA from 15 species